rnacentral:rRNA from 1 species
AACAGGCUUAUCUCCCCCAAGAGUCCACAUCGACGGGGAGGUUUGGCACCUCGAUGUCGGCUCAUCACAUCCUGGGGCUGUAGUAGGUCCCAAGGGUUGGGCUGUUCGCCCAUUAAAGUGGUACGCGAGCUGGGUUCAGAACGUCGUGAGACAGUUCGGUCCCUAUCCGUCGCCGGCGUAGGAAAUUUGAGAAGACCUGUCCUUAGUACGAGAGGACCGGGAUGGACGUACCUCUGGUGUACCAGUUGUUCUGCCAAGGGCAUGGCUGGGUAGCUGUGUACGGAAUGGAUAAGCGCUGAAAGCAUCUAAGCGCGAAGCCAACUUCAAGAUAAGAUUUCCCACCGCAAGGGUAAGACCCCAGAAAGACUAUCUGGUUGAUAGGUCGAAGGUGUAAGUGCAGCAAUGUAUUUAGCUUAUCGAUACUAAUAGGUCGAGGACUUGACCAAU